UACGAAGGGGGCUAGCGUUGUUCGGAAUUACUGGGCGUAAAGCGCACGUAGGCGGAUAUUUAAGUCAGGGGUGAAAUCCCAGAGCUCAACUCUGGAACUGCCUUUGAUACUGGGUACCUAGAGUAUGGAAGAGGUAAGUGGAAUUCCGAGUGUAGAGGUGAAAUUUCGUAGAUAAUUCGGAGGAACACCAGUGGCGAAAGGCGGCUUACUGGUCCAUUACUGACGCUGAGGUGCGAAAGCGUGGGGGAGCAAACAGG
rnacentral:rRNA from 1 species